UGGACCUCUCGGGGUUACAGCCUUGCUGGAAUUAUUCACCCUUGUCUUUUGCGUACUUCUUGUUUCCUUGGUGGGUUCGCCCACCACUAGGACAAACAUAAACCUUUUGUAAUUGCAAUCAGCGUCAGUAACAAAUUAAUAAUUACAACUUUCAACAACGGAUCUCUUGGUUCUGGCAUCGAUGAAGAACGCAGCGAAAUGCGAUAAGUAGUGUGAAUUGCAGAAUUCAGUGAAUCAUCGAAUCUUUGAACGCACAUUGCGCCCUUUGGUAUUCCAAAGGGCAUGCCUGUUCGAGCGUCAUUUGUACCCUCAAGCUUUGCUUGGUGUUGGGCGUCUUGUCUCUAGCUUUGCUGGAGACUCGCCUUAAAGUAAUUGGCAGCCGGCCUACUGGUUUCGGAGCGCAGCACAAGUCGCACUCUCUAUCAGCAAAGGUCUAGCAUCCAUUAAGCCUUUUUUUCAACUUUUGACCUCGGAUCAGGUAGGGAUACCCGCUGAACUUAAGCAUAUCAAUA
rnacentral:rRNA from 1 species